GCAACCUGAUUCCACUCAACACCCCACUGCAUGUUGACACUUGACUGCGUCUGGAAACAGCUGAGCAAAGAGCAAACAACAGCCAUCUAUCAGACUUUAGCUACUUAUAGAAGUACAAUCUGAACAUUGACCCGUAGCUUGACAUGGCACUUGAGGAAUAUUCACAAAGAAGCUAGCUAAUACAGUUAAUGCGACGACAAACAACGUAUUUGCAGCUUGGAAGAAACCAGGAAGAUGUUUGAGAAUUUCAAAGAGAGGUUGCAGACSGUGCAGCAAGAUUUCACAACGGGGAUGAAGACUCUGAGUGACAAAUCAAAGGAGGCCAAAGUAAAGCCGAAACCUAGACAUGAACAUCUGACACAGUUUUCUGCUGGAGUAGAACUGCUCAGUCGGUAGGUGUUGCUCUCAUUGGAUACGUCCAAAU